rnacentral:lncRNA from 1 species
CCUUAGCCAAGUCUAGGAAUCCAAUCUUUUUCUGAUUGGUGAGUGGGGGAGAGUUAGGAAUCAACUCUGGGUAGCUCUGCCAUCUCCCAGGAUGCCUGUCCAACUUCUCCUUGGGCUGGGGAUCUGGAAGAUAUGGUUGUGAAUUGUCUGCUAGGGUUGACUCAAGGACAUUCUGUUGUUACCUUGUUUGUGUGAGGAUGAGAAAAAGGGAGAGGAGGGAAGGAGCAAGAGCAAGGAACACUGGGAAUGGGAAGGGGAGCUAGAUAUAGAGAAAAAGGCAAGCUGAGGCAGGAGAGUCUCUGGAGCUCAGGAGUUCAAGGCCUGGGGCAAAAUAGAGAGAUCCCAUUCUAGAGAGAGAGAGAGAGAGAGAGAGAGAGAAAGUCAAUGUGGGCAAGAGAAGCAGGGACCCCAAACUUUGAAUGAGAAGAGGCAGGACCCCACUGUUUUGAAAGGCGGAACACUGUUGAGUGGCUUCCCUGUUUCUGUUUUUCUACCCCCAUGCCAGGAUACACAGCUUUGAACAAAUUAAAAAACUGGGCAGAAUGUGUCUUCCUUGGUAAUCUCACCUCUGCCUUGAGAUCCUGCACUUGCCUUGUUUUUGUGUUUCUGGUUUAGUUUGUCUCAGCGGAAGGGCCUACUUGUGCCUUGGGGAGACUAUUCCAGGCGCUGGAGGAGUGCCCAGAGGGAAAGAGCUACCGCCCCAGUCCCAGUGCAGGCUGACCUUUCUCACAGUGGCCUAGAGUCACCCUUGCGCUAGAAGUUCCCCUUGGCUGUACAGGAAGAGGGCAUGUCUCCUCCUCGGCCUCCCUAAACCGGGCCAGGCUGGCAGCCUUGUUUUGAGGCAUUCGGACUUUGCUCUCCUGAGAGGCAGAUACUACAGGCACGAGGCAGGAGAAAGUCAUGGCACAUGUGCUUCUGUAAGGCCUGUGAUCUGGCUGCUCACCUGAGGGUGGCCUGCUCUAUCCAUUUGUGAACCCUUCUCACCAGGACUUUCCAAGACGGGUCCUGGCCUCCAAAUUCUCCCCUCCCAUCCAUUCUAUCUGUAGCUGCUGCAUUAAAUUUGUUAAAAGCCCUCUCUUAUCUUGUUAUUCCUCCACUUAGAAACCACUAGUGCCCAGUAAACCAGUGGCACAUGCCUGUAAUUCUAGUGUCAGGAGGCCAGCCUCAGCAACUUAGCAAGACCCUGUCUGAAGAUGGAGAUUUUUUAAAUUUAAUUUUUAAAUUUGUUUUCAUUAGUUAUACAUGACAGUAUAAUGCACGUAUACACUUUGAUAUAUUAUACAUAGAUGGGAUAUAAUCUUUCAUGUUUCUGAGUGUACAUGUUGUAGAAUCACAUUGGUCAUGCAGUCACAUAUGUACAUAAAAUAAUAAAGUCUGUUUUGUCUGUUUUGUUCUACUAUCCUUCCUAUCCCCACAUCCCCUCCCCACCCCUCCCUUCACUUGCCUUUACCUAAUCGAAGGUAACUCUAUUCUUCUCUAGUGCUCCCC